UACGGAGGGUGCAAGCGUUAUCCGGAUUUAUUGGGCUUAAAGGGUCCGUAGGCGGAUCUGUAAGUCAGUGGUGAAAUCUCAUAGCUUAACUAUGAAACUGCCAUUGAUACUGCAGGUCUUGAGUGAGAUUGAGGUAGCUGGAAUAAGUAGUGUAGCGGUGAAAUGCAUAGAUAUUACUUAGAACACCAAUUGCGAAGGCAGGUUACCAAGUCUUAACUGACGCUGAUGGACGAAAGCGUGGGGAGCGAACAGG
rnacentral:rRNA from 1 species